AGACAGGUGGUGCAUGGUUGUCGUCAGCUCGUGUCGUGAGAUGUUGGGUUAAGUCCCGCAACGAGCGCAACCCUUGUGUUUAGUUGCAAACAGGUCAAGCUGUGCACUCUAGACAGACUGCCGUGGACAACACGGAGGAAGGUGGGGAUGACGUCAAAUCAUCAUGCCCCUUAUGAUCUGGGCUACACACGUGCUACAAUGGCCGGUACAACGGGCAGCGAAGGAGCGAUCCGGAGCGAAUCCUAAAAAGCCGGUCCCAGUUCGGAUUGCAGGCUGAAACUCGCCUACAUGAAGUUGGAGUUGCUAGUAAUCGCGAAUCAGAAUGUCGCGGUGAAUGCGUUCCCGGGUCUU
rnacentral:rRNA from 1 species